UCCCUGCAUUCUGUAAUUAUAUUUGACUGAAAUGGAAGAGCAUAUGUUUUUCAUACCUCGUCAAUCCCAGAAAGGUUUCUGCAAAUAGGAAAAAGCCUCUAAAGACCUUAUAUAGGAGCUGAUACUGUCAACACUCAUUUGUCCUGAAAAAGAAAUACAGUAACACAUACAGGCACCGAGAACACACACACACACAACCAGCACGUAUGGAUAACAUACACAUGCACAAACACAAAUAGACACAGUAACACACUUUCACAGAUGCAGAUGCCACCACUCUCAGCACUGAUGAAUACAAAAUGACAUUUCAAUUUACCUUUUUGGGUUGGGAAGGUCUACUUUUGCAUACUGAUUAACUCCUUUUUUUUGUAGAAUAAAGAUGUGAAAAAGGAAAUGAAAAGACAGAAGUGGAGGUUGAGCGAGGAAAUAACUCCUCUUCCUGGCAAAGAAACAGAAAGAAAUGGUGGGAGUGAAAGGAGGUGGUGGCACCUUUCAAACAAAUGACAGAUAAAGAAAUGAAGAUCACUGUACUCGCAUGAAGAAAAUAACGAUCCCCCUCACCCCCAUCUCUCUCACUUCUAGUGGACCCACUAGGGAUAUCUCCAGUCACACCUCUCACUCACGAAGCUGAGUCACUGGUCUGAAAUGGAAAUGGUUCCAGUCCUCCAUCUUGAAGGCUGUCCCAAUCCGCUUAUUUGUGUUUGGAGAAGUAAGGAGUGCUCCCUGAGGAGGCAUGAGCAAGGAUAAAGGAGACCAGUGUCAAAACUGGUACACAGAGAUGGAGGACUCAAGUGCAUGACUCUGGAGACAGUUCAGCUCUGUGACCUGGAAACCGAUCUCUCUCUGUCAUCAUGGAGGAUCCUCCAAUCCCUUAAAUGCACCUGGAGGGGAGAGGAGGCUCCUGGAGGAGCUUAGAGUGAGGGACCACAGAUGGAUCCAAUGUUCACCAGUCCGUCAGAGAGCCAGAUCUGGACCCGCAGAUCCGAACCGAGUCCCAGAGCGGUGAACAGCACCAGUGCGCAGACAGUGCGUAGAUAGGACAGUAUCUGACCUGAAGCCGAAGUGAUACAUAAAAAUCUAUCAAUGCUUUUCACUUCUGGGAGCUGAGUUCACUUCCAUUGAAAGUCUCUUGUCCGGAAUUGUUGAUAAGAUUAUGCGCUGUUGAGUUUCUCUCACACUACAGACAAUAGUCCAAUGAUUGCAUGUUACUUUUCUUCUGCUUUCUGUUGAUAUUCAGACAGGCAGGUAGGCCAUCCAAUCAUUUCAUGUGGGCCAAAUGAAAUGAUUGGAUGGACUUAUCACAGGCUUGUGACAACCACAGAUAACGGAUUCUUUUCUUUUUAUUGUCACAGCAUUUGAUUUAUUGAUUGCUGUUGGGAUGUAAAGAGAAUUUCAACAAAUAU